AACCAAACUAACGUUGUCUUUAACAAAGAAAAGCAUCCAACCUAUAGAAGGAUUCAACAUCAUUCAUCCAAGAAAAAUCUAAAACCCUAAAACGUAACUCACUAAUCGCACUGAGAAGGCCAAACCACGAGUAAAACACGUAAAGCUGAAAUGAGAAACAAAAUAAGAAAAACAGAGAGAAAGUUACCGGAGGAGACUCGGAGAGCGACAACAACGGCGGAAUCGGAAACAAUGGUGGUGACAGUCGCAAUCUCCUUCGCCCGAAGAAAAUCAGAGAAAGAUCCCAAAUGUCAAAUGACUCGUGAAACCUUAUUUCCCCGUCAGUUUCAGAUUAUUAUCGAAACGAUGUCGCGAUGAGAGUUCAAUUCUUCACUCCUUAAAAACGACGUCGU
rnacentral:lncRNA from 1 species